ensembl:lncRNA
AAAUGUAUAAAGUUGCAAUCAGAUAUUCAACUCAAAGAAAAAUUUGAUACUGUCUCUUUAACCAGACGUUUAUAAGCCUUCUUAUCAGAGAGAAACACCCCUCACUUCACAAUCACACCUUAUUCAUGUCAUCACUUUUUGGCAGUAUGUACAUUUGUGAACAACUAUUUUCAAGGAUGAAUCACAGGAAGAGUAAAAUUUCAUCAGAAUCUCUGAUGAACACCUUGAGAGCUCAUUAACAAUUGCAGCCUCUUCCACUGAACAAAACUGAUGCAUUAUUUUCACAAAAACAAGAUGAUUUUGAAUUAUUGAAACUUCAAUCAAGCCCAAUUGUAAUACUUGACCUUACAGUGGACCAGAAGAAACCCAGAUCAGAGCACAGCCAAGAAUUUAAGAAAGAUUGCCAUUCUACAGUUGGGAGAUUCUGCUGAAAAGGACCUGGAAAUAUUGGCUUAAAAAGUUUGCCUGAAGUUCAGAGCCUUGCAGCUGAUGAGUGGGUUAUGGUGGAAUAGUUGCUGGGAAUUGUCUAAGUGUUCAGUAAUGCAUGUGGAAAGAAUAAGUUUCCUGCACAGGAACAAGAAGUUGAUGAACAGGAAUGUAUAUGCUGGUUCCACACAUAAGCCUCAGCACAAAAUUAAAGAUAAAAGAGCAUUGAGAUGGCUAGAUGAUCACUUGGCUCUGGAAAUUUGACGUAUGAAGAGAACAGUAGUGUGAAGCCAUACAAACAGUGGGCAAAGCUGACAGAGAGGCUGGGGUGGCAGAACUGAAGUUGGCGGUACUGCUGCCAGGUGCACGGCACACGUGCUGGAAAAGGAAAGCCCGGUAUGCUGGAAAGGAGCAGCUGAGGUGGUAACUGUAGUGCUUUGGACAAGCAGUCAUCUCUUGUUGUGGAGACUGCCGUGGCUUGGCACUGGAAGGAAGGAAGGUCUUGUUGGCACCAGGUGGGGACACCGAGACACAGGGCUGCAGCAUGAUUAGCCCCAUGGUUUUCAGCAAAGCAUGAGGACAGCAUGUGGCUGCACCAGUAGUGAGGACCUUCUGGUCUCUUCUUUGCUACCAUCUUGCAACCCUUCCCAAAGCGUGCUGCAGGCCCAGCUCCAAUGCUUCAUCAAGAUCCAGGAACUCCCAGAGCUGCCCACGGUCAUGUCACACAGGUUUACACAGGCUUUCCUGGCCUUGCUGCAAUGAGCAGGACUGAAGUGGAAAGUGAUGAGCCUGCUGAGGUCGUCUGGAUGCAGUGAUGUGAAGAGGCAGUAGUUUUCCAGGCUGAUAUUCAGUCUGGAGCCGUAGCACUGAUGCUCCAAGACUGUCACUUCUUUGUGAAACUAUGACUGCUAAAAAGAAACAUUUAUUUUCUUCAUUUGCAAGGCUGUGAAAACACACUCACCUUCCUGCGGACGUGUGCGGAGCAGAGGUGUCAGCUCACCCCAUGCAGCCUGAUGUGGACUACGUCAGUGUGGUCACCCACCCCCUGGAUGAGGUAGUCCUGGCUCCUUCGGGUCAGGCCUCGCAGUACAAAGGCUGCAGAGCUGCAGAAAGGGAGAAGACAAGGAGGGCUGCGCCUGGCCUUUAUCUCUUGCAUGCUUUGGCCCCAUGAAGAACUCCAGCAUGUCUGCCUGGUGAACAACGAGUUGAAUGCCUGGUGAUGUCCAGUGAGUCAGGAACAACCCACAUUGAGGUUAGACAUCAACACAGAGCAAGACACCUUCUCCAGCUCUGCAAGAACCGGGAAUUGAGUUGGGGGAAUCUCUCUUUCACCUGUCUGCCAAAAUCCCCUUGUUAAAAUAAGUAUCACCCUACGUCAAAUAUGUCAAAUAAAUGCUUGCCUAUUAAGGCAAGCUUGCAACGCUAUUUAAAACAGAAGUGGCAAAACAUUAAAACUGAAAGUAACAGCAUGCUCCCCUCAAAUCAGCAUUGUUGGCUGUUUGCUUCUGAGCUGUGGGCCCCUGUGCAGCACUGGCUGCAUGGAUUAUCCGGGUGGGAACAGGUGGGAGUUUUAGAGAGCCAUGUGUGCUGUGCUAGCACUUGGUAUAGGUAUGGACUGUCUUGAAGGGCUUGGGAAGACAUGUCCAUCCAGUCACUGAGCAUGGAGAAAGAGGAGUGAGAAAGCAUGGGGUUCCCAGGUGACACUAGUUAGCCAGCUUGAGCGGUGAAUACAUGCAGUAACUGGUCUGCUGACAAGGCACAUACCACAUUUCGCUCACAGCACGAUUAUGCAGCAGUUGCAAGUAGCAAACCAGUGUAGCCAAUACUUAGUUGCUCCUUCACAGACAGAAGGAAGGGAAGCUUAAAUUCCUUAAUAAUUUAUCAUAAAUAUUGCACUCUGCCCUUGCACAGUGCAGAGUAAACUUGCUUGUAAUUCAUGCUGGUGUCAGUUCUGUGUCUCAACUUCAUUGUAAACUUACAUUGGAAAUCCUUUCCUUGAACCGAUUCCAGGUUUAUUAUGCAUUAGUAACAGACAUCUACACUAACACUGAGUGAGCUUAUAGUGAUUUGUUAUACCAGAUUUUAGAAACCUGUCAUGAGACCACAAUUUGCUAGUGUUAUCUCAACACCUUGUGCAGAGAUGCAAGGACUGUUUGGUGACAUAUCAUCCUUGACACAUGACACAUAGAGUGCAUGCUUCAAUCAACACGCCGUGCCUCUGGGCAGUGUGGUGCUGCAGCCUCUGCAGGGGAAUGCCACUGCCUGUGAAACCUCCUCCCUUGCAACUAGUGGUGAUGGCAGUGCUGUGGGGACUGCAGGAAGCAAGGAACCUAACCUAAAUACCCCAAAAUACAAAAAGUUUUCUGUGAGAUUGUUGAUGCUUUAUUGUUUGCAGACACGUCUAAGCAAACCAGAAUGUGCUGCUGUUUUAAUUAUUUAUUCUGCAAGUGGUUUGAGGAAUACUAAUCGUAGUAGCUCUACUGGGACUAGGACCAGGAUAAGCUCAUUAUAAUUUGCUUCAUUUCAUCUUAAUUCUGCAGUAACUCACCCUGUUUACUUGAAUUCUGGUUGUCCUGAUUACCUUGAGCGUGGUAUGCCCAUGUCGUACUUCAAAAUAAGCGGAGGUGAUGAGCAAAUACCAACACAGUGAUGUUAUAAUCCCUAAAAUUAUGUUAGAUGUGAAAAAAAAAAACCAACAAAAAAGAUAGAUUAUUAUUAUUUGUCUCUAAGUAGUGGGGUCAGGAUGUGUUUUCCUAAGCAGUAGCUCAACCUGGCUUUACUGCAAGCAGAAUCUGGCCUUCGCUGUCCAUUGGCAAAGAAAUAACGUUUCAUCUCUGCCCCACAUUGACAUCUCUCUUGCAGGAGUAAGGAGACAUUAACAUACUGGUCAUCAGCUGAGCAGAAGAUACUGAUGGAGAUGCUUCUUUAUGCAAGCACGACGGCAAGCUCCCUUCCAUUCUAUUGAGAAGAUAAUGCAUGAUAGCGAUGUGAAUGUGUUGCUGUCAUGAGCUAAGUGCUGACUUUUGUCCAUACCAAUGGUAACGAAGGGUUACAGAAAUGCUGAAACUCAAAAAUAUAAACACAAAUAUCAGACCUCCAGCCCUCCCAUAGGGCAUUUCUAAUUGUCAAGUGAAGGGAUGGGAAUUGCUGUGAUAAAUGUCAUGUAUCUUAUGGGUUGUUACACAACAGUGGUGGGGGAAGAGGGAAGGUGCAGAAAGGAGAAAGCUGGAACUACUCAUACGUACUUGGUAAAAAUAACAUGCCGUUUGAUUAGAAGUGUGUUUUAAACAUAUUAUUUGAAUAUGUAAGGAGUUAUGUUGGUCCUGAAAGUACCUGAUGACUAUCAUGCUGCUACGAAGGCAUUGUACCCACCAAUGCUUGGCCUCUGUGACAUUACCAUUGGGUUCAAUGACAAGCAGGGCAAGACCAGGUGGGCAGGAUGGGACUAACCAUGCUCAGGGAGCUAUAACUCCACAGAAUGAUCAUGCAGUGUUCUUACAUAUGAUGGAUGUGGUAAAUGACAGCAGUUUUGUUAACACUGCACUCUACUGCAUAUCUGGCACAAGAGUUAACAUGGGCUAGCACCAAAAUUUGCAGUGUCAUGGGUGGUGAGUAUGCACCCUUCAAAGCCUCCUGUACUGUGGGAACUUUCAAUGGUUUAACCUAAAACAAGUGUCAUGCUGAGAAAAACUCUGUGCAAGCACUUGGUUUCAGUUUAAACACCAUUUAUUUUGAAGUCACCUCUGGGGGUGGAAAGGUGCUUUUUGUUGUUUGGUUUUUUUGUUGUUGUUGUUGUUUUUAACCAAAAUGAGUGAAACCAAAUGAAAGGUGUCUGCCUACAAGCAAUGCACUGGAGUAAUUAUGGUCCCUGCACUGAGACUCAAGCAAAUAUUUCUGAGGCAGUUUCUGAAUUUUGCAAACCAUCUGUCUGCCUUUACCUCUGCCAGCACCACAGAGAUGGGGCACCUCAGCCUAAGAGCAGUCAGGGCAGCUAUGGGUGCUGCUGCACCAAAUCUCCAUAGCCAGUCAUUGGGCCACUUGUGAGUGUGGAAACAGCAUUUUCUGUCCAUCCGUCCAUGUGGUCAGAGGUGAGUCCUAGACAUACUGUGACAUAACAGCAUGUUCUUCCUCUAGGGCAAGAGCUGCAGCUGAAUUCAUCAGUAGGAAUGGGAUGUGAGGGACUUCCCCAGGUGGACUGCACUGGGGAUUCACUUCCAAGUGGGAUACCACAUUGGGUGCUAACGAUGCCAUUGACACCUACUCCCGCUCUAACCUGAUCACCUCUGGUCGGGUCCAGCUGGCCCUUUGAAGAUAUCUCCUCACCCAGUGUUAACCCCAGCUUGUUUUUCUCCCUGCUUCUUGGUUCACCAGUGGUGGCACAAGCCAGAGCUCCUGGCUGGGUCUCUGCAGGGCACACUGGUUUGAGGAGGAACAGAAGAGAGCUCUGGGACAUCUGGUACUUUAGACUGAGGAAGAGCACUCAUUUGGAUGGAGGGUUUGGUGCUGUAAAGCAGGUGAACUGGCUAAGCUUCUUCUGGAAGGUGCUGGGCUGCCAGGAGCUCCCCAGAGCAGGGGCAAGAAAGAUGUCCCUCAGCGGGUACUGGGGUAUCAUCAUGCAAACAGCUGGCUAGGUGAGUUAGAGAAGGUAUCUCAUCUCUUACCUAUUUCUCACUGGAAGCAGAAAGUGCAGAAGCCAAGUCUGUAAUUUCCCAGAUGGAUAUGUCUUCUAUAGGACCUCUUUCUUCCAUGAAAAGGAGGAGAUGCCUCCAGAUAUCCUCUGACACAUACAACUACUUUGUACCAGACAAAGUAAUUGGCUGGAGUCAACCUGGGCCCUCAGUAAAACAAGUGUGGGUUCGGGAAGUCAAAAGAGUUUGAGAGCUCCUGCCUCUGUCCUAUGGCAUUCCUGUGGUGGAAAAUCCCACAGUGAGGGGAGCUGUGGGCAGGAAAGUGGAGCACAGCCAUCCUGCUGCUUUCUGAAGGCAUCUAUCAGGUUGUGCAGGCAUAGCCAGGUCUCUAGCAUCCCUGUCUCUGCUCUUAGGUGUCAAUUUCUAUCAGACACUGGAAAUCCUGAGUAUAUUUCCAAGAAGAUGGGCAGAGUCAUUUGAUUGACCAUUGUGCUGGUCACACAGAAGAGAAGAAUGACCAUUCUUGCUCACAGGCUUAAAACCCACCUGCAUUCAUAUCUCCUCUAAGCGCUGCAAACAGCAAAGCAGAGAUGGUAACAGCCACUAAAGGAGGAAGGGCCACGUACAGAGAUGUUCACUUACCUCCAAAGGUCUUUACUCUCUUGGUCAAAGGCCCUGACUGCCUAUCUUCAGUUUGGGUAUCUUUAAAUUUAAUCUGUCCAUAUUCCUUUUGCAUAGCUCUUGGAUGAAAAGGUUUGGCUCUGUAAAACAAUAUUGCCAAGCUGCUACAUGAGGAAUGAGCCACACAUAGAAGGUAUGUAAGUACGUGCUUGUGAAAAAGCCAACAAACUCUUCCCUCGUAUGUGAUGAUGCCUUUUCCAUGUCUAGUGUUGUCUUAGCUUCGUUUUCAUUACUUCACACAUAAAAACAGAAGUUAAAGGAUGUGCAAAAUGUCACACAGUGAAGUAAAAUUAUUGGCUGAUCUAAGAACUUCCACCCCAACCAGAAGUCUUAUCUUCCAAGCUUUGAAUCUGUGUCAGAACCAAUUAUUUUAACGUAGAUUUUUUAAAUAUAUAUGGUAGCAUCUUAAGGCUUUGUCAAUAUAUUUAAAGUUGUUCUACAAUAUAUACAGUAAUUGCUUUUCUAUGAGGACCGAGAUACAUGAAAGAUUCAAAAGAUAGAGGACUUUUCAUUGAUGGCAACUUUUAAAAAAAUAAAAGCUGGAUUAUUACAUGAAGGAGAUAAAAGGCCAUGAAAUAGAUAUUAAGGCCAUGAAGUAGAUAUUUUUACUCUAGCAUAAGAGAGGAUUUUUAGCUUCUAAAUAUGCAGAGACACUAUAUCAACUAUCACAAAUGUGUGCCGGUGAUGCAUCCAACAACACUUAAUUAUCAGUUCUACAGGAAAAUUAGGUGAGAAAAUUACUUGUCUUUUUGUAUUUAUUUUAGUUAUAAAAACCCAAAGAUGAUGACACUUCUCUCACUACAGCAUGUUAGACAUAGAUGGCUUGCCUGUCUUAUUUUUCCCCCUUGGUGAUGCAGAUUGAUAAUUCCUGCAGUGGGCUCAGUUUAAUUUGUUACUUUUUACAAAUGCAUAUUGUGCAGUUUUAAAGACAGCUGUCUUCAAAAUGGGUAGACAUUAAGCAGUUUCAUUUUUUGUGGUGUCUUAGAUCAGAAAUGUUUGAGAUGGAAGAAACUGAUCUGGUCCACUACCUCGACCUUCUUUGCAAUGUGAGAUGCAUACUUAUGGGUCGGUAUUUGUAUGUCCUUCUUGCUUUCCUCCUCUAGAAAUUAAUUAGGGCAUUAAACAAUAUCAAAACAUGAAAAUGUUUGCAGAUGGACAGAUAGGAGCUAAAAGAUACUGAAAGUUCUUGUGCUACCAAACACAGCACAGGGAACAACUGAAGUAGCCACAGCUGAUGAAAGCAAUGUUUUUUCAAAUGCUGUCCUAUGCUCAAAUAAGGCAUCUGAGAGAGCAACAACAGCUACCAUGGUGUGUGUCUCAUUUCCCUCACCCUGGGGCAUCCCGGGCAUAGCAAUGCUGCAUGGAGAAGAAAAGAAAAAAAAAGAGAGAGAGAGAAGGAAGGCUGAAAAGUAAGAAGAAAAAUCAGUCUUUGAAUGUGAAGAUAAAAAAUAAGCCAUCAGGAACUAAACUGGUUUUAAUUUUGUCUCUGAUACUGUAGGGUUCUGGCAUGCAUCUGUCAACAUGGCUGACGUAGCUACACAGGAAUAUGGUGGGAAAAGUCUUGGCUAGAAAAAUCUUACUGCACACAUAUGAUGAAAGAGAAGGGAAAGGCAAUGUUGGAAGAGAACGACUUGUUCCCAGCAGUCAGCAAAGUCUCCAGCCAUAUUACAGCGGUGGCAGCUGCCUCUUCCCCAGUGGAAAGAAAGCACUCACACCAGCCACCACCACGUAAGUAAAACUUUGCAGAGCCACCUCAGUGAAUGUGAGGGACGAAGUGCUGAGGUCCUGCUCCCUGUUGGGUCAGCCAUCACCAACAUCCUCUUUGGUGCCAAACAAAAGGAGGAAUCGCAGGAUGAGAAUUUUGGCAAGAUGGAGAGCAGAUCUCUGGAAGGGUGCAAAUGACACUGCAAGACUAGAAGAUCUGAGCCCUAUGAAGCUGAGCAAGUGUAACCACAAUGCCUCACUGGGGCUGUUUGGCUCUGGCCUAAGAGUUGGAAGAGCUGUAUCUUUGUUUUGAAGAGAAAAAACAAGCUUUGGAAAUGAUGCUUUGUGCCCAUGCAGGUUUCCACAGUUCUAUUUCGAGAAAGAAAUGUCACCUCAAAAACUAAAUCCAACUGAAUACUUUUUUCCCAUCUCCCUUCCGCAGCUUUCCCAAAUAUAUGUGAAGAUGACAGAAGCACCUCCUUUGCAAAGCCUUACACUUUCUGAAACAUGUCUUGUUUUGUUUCUGUAGCCAGCAGGAUGCCUUAGGCCCAGCAACAAAGAGCAGUUACGUGAUCUUACAUAGCAAAGUUAUCCAUUG